AGUAGAAUUUUCUUAGUUUUUCCUUUAAUUGCUUUGUUUUUUCUGAGAUAUGUUUUUUCCAAGUUAGCCUCCUGUCCAGGGUCAUGCCCAGGUAUCUUACGGAGUCCUUGCUUGGGAUUAUUGUGUUGUUAAUGGUGACCUGGGGGCAGGUUUGUUUUCGGAGCGUGAAGGUUACAUGAGAGGAUUUUUUUUUUCGUUUAUUUUGAAGCCCCAUUUUUGGAACCACUUUUCCAUGGAGUCGAGACUUCGCUGGAGAGUGGAUGAGGCAAUUGCCGGGUCUGCGUGGAAGAGAGAUCAGUCGAGGAAUUGAUUUGGACGUGUCUUGACGAGAUAUUUUUAGUUAUGAGGAAAUCAAGGAGAUCGGGUAUUUUGUUUGUGUCGGUGGGCCAGUGUGUGGGUUCGUAUGUGGUAAGGUAGUUGAGGUUGUUGGUUAUUAUGCUGUUGAGGAGGUUUUUGCCUCUUACUGUAACCAGUCUGCUGCCCUAUUGGGUGUGUUUGGC
rnacentral:misc_RNA from 1 species